AAUAGACCUUACCGAUUAUUCUCUUUUACCCAAUGGCCUCGUUUCCAUGUUGACUUAUUUUAGCAUAUCAGGGGCAGAUAAAGAUUAUAUUCCCAUGUUUUCCUGGACGAAUUUGUUUCUUGCUGUUCUUAAGCUCAACAACAAAGUAAUUUUCAACCCUACUAAGCACAAAACAUGAGUAAGUAUUUGACAUGAAAACGAGGC